rfam:Gossypium arboreum cultivar AKA8401 contig_18128_5, whole genome shotgun sequence.
AAAACAUCUGCGAACAUUUGUGGAUCAACAUCUUAAAUCACUCUCAGGCUUCUUGAAAGCUUUCUCCUUCUAGUUGUUUAAAUGUGGAAAUCUUUCUUCUGAGUUG